rnacentral:rRNA from 1 species
UACUAAAUUAUUAAUAGAUUUGUUCUUUAAAUUUAAAGGAUUUGGCGGUAAUUUAUCUAUUCAGAGGAACCUGCCCUUUAAUUGAUAAACCACAAGUAAUUUUACUUUUAUUUUUGCUUAUAUACCUCUAUCAUUGAAUAUCUUUAGAAAGAAUGAUUUUCUAAUAGAUUUUUUAAUCUUAAUGUUAGGUCAAGGUUUAGUAAUAUAAAAGUCUGUGGUGGGUUACAAUUUUUAUAUAAGAGGAUAUGUUUAAUGGAUAUAACUUUGAAUUUGGAUUUGAUAGUAAAAGUUUUUUGGUUAAAACUUUGAUUUUGUAAUAAAUUAAGCACACAUCGCCCGUCGCUCUCU